CGGCUUAUCAAUUCGGAUCGUGAUAAACAUCGCUGUUUGGAGUCUGAUUGUGAGUGAGCGCUCUUUUUCCAGUUUACCAUUCCUGUUCUUCAUCCCGUGCUGGACACAUCGCAGACUACCUAAUUCGCACCGCGGUUCCUACACACCUUAACUUCUUUUAUGUAGGUUCUCAACAAAGGUCCUCUCGAGGCUCUGUAACUAACUCCAUCGAUCCUCCAAUCACUCAUCAAUCAUGAAAUUGUUCUACUUCUUCUUCGCUCUGAUUGCGUUCAUCUGCAACUUCAAUGCCUUGGAGGCUAUUUGCUGCAUUAAAGACCUCCACACCGGCGUCUGCCAACGCACUCAUGGUACCCCGAACCUUGGCUAUGGGUGCUGCGGGAAGAACUGCAAUGCAUUUUGCUGCAACUGCGAGGGAAACUACUGCAAUUAGUAUUAGGUGUCCAGAGCAAGCUUUUAAGGCAAGCUGACGUCAUCUAGAUUCAAACUGCUGCGUCCAAUCAACGAGGCAACUAUCCGUGACAAAGAAAACCACAUCACGUUUGCAACUAUCCUUCUCCAAAACCCACAACUUCCGCCAUGAAAUUGCUCCACCUCCUGUUCGCUUAUCGAUCAGCAAAGGGCGUAGCGGAAACAAUUGCAUCCCUUUUUGCUGCAACUGCAAAGGCGAUUGCAAUCAGCAUUGAUGUCAGCAAACUAGCUUGUUAGGUGAUCUGUACACACGGUAUUAUUAGACAGGUAAAAUCUCAAUGAUCGAGUCUACUUUUGUUGGCAAAAAAUAGUGAUGAUGAUUUUUAAACAUUUUUAAGGGUAUCUAUGUCCCCGGUUGAUUUUAUUAUAAAAGAGAGGAAUAACUAUGUGUCUGGGAGUCAUUUUGAAGCUAAUUUAUUCAGCGGAAAUAACCUGAUAGCUUUUAGGAUUCAUGGUUAGUCAUUUUUAGUCAUUUUUUUCCGGGGAAAUCUCUCGUUACCCUAUAUGUGUUAUCACUAGUCAUUUUCAGUAAAUUCUCAGUAAUUCUUUUCAGUAGGUUUAUGCCUUUAAAUUAAUUUGAAUGAAAGAUGACACAAUUUUCUUUUUUUAAAAAAAAGAGAAGUCAUGAGCAUGACACUUAAUUUUGAUUUUAACCGUAGGCAAAUCCAUUCAAUUAAUUAAAAUUCCUGUGUUUUUUAGUCGGCUUGUGACGAAAAGAUUCCCUUUAUUUAUAGCAGACGAUUUGAGAACGUAAAAUCAAAUUGACUUGCACCUACUAAUUUACUUCAUUCAACGAUAUUUUACUGUGUUUUGAAAUUAAUUAUAUAUCUGAUACAUAUUAAAGUAUUUCAUUAGACAGAACACUAACUAAAGGACUGAGAAGUGAUAGUCAUCCGAUAUUUUAUGCAAUUUCCUUGGCAAAAGACUAACAUAGUUUAUAAGCGAUUAUUGUAUUGUGUAGCAUACCAUUUUUAUCUAAAAAAUAUCAAUAAGUAUUUGAAAUUCAUUCGACAAUAAAGAGUUUUAUUCAAUUUGUAAA